CGCCUUCCUCGGGGGAGCCUGACGGCUGAGAGGUUGCGCGACGCAACGACCCCAGAACCUGAUCCCGCUAGUACGGGCGUAGGGAGAGGCGAUGCCGGCAAA
rnacentral:ncRNA from 2 species